UACAGAGGUCUCAAGCGUUGUUCGGAUUCAUUGGGCGUAAAGGGUGCGUAGGUGGUGCCGUAAGUCGGGUGUGAAAUUUCGGAGCUUAACUCCGAAACUGCAUUCGAUACUGCGGUGCUUGAGGACUGGAGAGGAGACUGGAAUUCAUGGUGUAGCAGUGAAAUGCGUAGAGAUCAUGAGGAAGACCAGUGGCGAAGGCGGGUCUCUGGACAGUUCCUGACGCUGAGGCGCGAAGGCCAGGGGAGCAAACGGG
rnacentral:rRNA from 1 species